rnacentral:rRNA from 1 species
UUAAUUGAAGAGUUUGAUCAUGGCUCAGAUUGAACGCUGGCGGCAAGCCUAACACAUGCAAGUCGAGCGGCAGCGAAAAAAAGUUUACUUUUUUGUCGGCGAGCGGCAAACGGGUGAGUAAUAUCUGGGGAUCUGCCUAAAAGAGGGGGAUAACUAUUGGAAACGAUAGCUAAUACCGCAUAAUGUUGAGAAACCAAAGUAGGGGAUUUAUUCUCUUUAUAAACCUUACACUUUUAGAUGAACCCAGAUGAGAUUAGCUUGAUGGUAGGGUAACGGCCUACCAAGGCGAUGAUCUCUAGCUGGUCUGAGAGGACAACCAGCCACACUGGAACUGAGACACGGUCCAGACUCCUACGGGAGGCAGCAGUGGGGAAUCUUGCACAAUGGGCGAAAGCCUGAUGCAGCUAUGCCGCGUGUAUGAAGAAGGCCUUCGGGUUGUAAAGUACUUUCGUCAGGGAAGAAAAGAAGAUAGCUAAUAACUAUCUUCCAUGACGUUACCUGAAAAAGAAGCACCGGCUAACUCCGUGCCAGCAGCCGCGGUAAUACGGGGGGUGCAAGCGUUAAUCGGAAUUACUGGGCGUAAAGAGCACGUAGGUGGACUAUUAAGUUAGAUGUGAAAUACCUGAGCUUAACUUAGGAACUGCAUUUAAAACUAAUAAUCUAGAGUUUCGUAGAGGGAGGUAGAAUUCCAGGUGUAGCGGUGAAAUGCGUAGAUAUCUGGAGGAAUACCUGUGGCGAAAGCGACCUCCUAGACGAUAACUGACGCUGAGGUGCGAAAGCGUGGGUAGCAAACAGGAUUAGAUACCCUGGUAGUCCACGCUGUAAACGAUGUCAACUUGGAGGUUGUUUCCAUUGAGAGAUGGCUUCCGAAGCUAACGCAUUAAGUUGACCGCCUGGGAAGUACGGUCGCAAGGCUAAAACUCAAAUGAAUUGACGGGGGCCCGCACAAGCGGUGGAGCAUGUGGUUUAAUUCGAUGCAACGCGAAAAACCUUACCUGGUCUUGACAUCCAUAGAAUUUCUUAGAAAUAAGAAAGUGCCCUUUGGGAACUAUGAGACAGGUGCUGCAUGGCUGUCGUCAGCUCGUGUUGUGAAAUGUUGGGUUAAGUCCCGCAACGAGCGCAACCCUUAUCCUUUUUUGCCAUCGGUUCGGCCGGGAACUCAAAGGAGACUGCCAGUUAUAAAUUGGAGGAAGGUGGGGACGACGUCAAGUCAUCAUGGCCCUUACGACCAGGGCUACACACGUGCUACAAUGGUACAUACAAAGAGAAGCAACUCUGUAAAGACAAGCAAAUCUCAUAAAGUGUAUCUUAGUCCGGACUGGAGUCUGCAACUCGACUCCACGAAGUCGGAAUCGCUAGUAAUCGUGAAUCAGAAUGUCACGGUGAAUACGUUCCCGGGCCUUGUACACACCGCCCGUCACACCAUGGAAGUGAAUUGCAAAAGAAGCAAGUAGUUUAACCGUUUUACGGAGAACGCUUACCACUUUGUGGUUCAUAACUGGGGUGAAGUCGUAACAAGGUAACUGUAGGGGAACCUGCGGUUGGAUCACCUCCUUACAUUAAA